AUUGAACGCUGGCGGCAGGCUUAACACAUGCAAGUCGAACGAGUGGCGGCCGGGUGAGUAAUGCUUGGGAAUCUAGCUUAUGGAGGGGGAUAACUACGGGAAACUGUAGCUAAUACCGCGUACCAUAGGAUGAGCCCAAGUGGGAUUAGGUAGUGGGUGAGGUAAAGGCUCACCAAGCCGACGAUCUCUAGCUGGUCUGAGAGGAUGACCAGCCACACUGGGACUGAGACACGGCCCAGACUCCGACGGUAGGCAGCAGUGGGGAAUAUUGCGCAAUGGGGGCAACCUGACGCAGCCAUGCCGCGUGAAUGAAGAAGGCCUUCGGGUUGUAAAGUUCUUUCGGUAGCGAGGCGUUAACUACAGAAGAAGCACCGGCUAACUCCGUGCCAGCCGCCGCGGUAAUAC
rnacentral:rRNA from 1 species